rnacentral:rRNA from 1 species
AUGGUUUCCGCCGACGCAGCUCGUAACAUCGUCGGCAUCAUCGGCAAUGUCAUCUCCUUCGGCCUCUUCCUCUCCCACGCGCCGAUGUUCCGGCGGAUCUGCAAGGCCAAGGACGUGGAGGAGUACAAGCCGGACCCCUACCUGGCGACGCUGCUCACCUGCAUGCUCUGGGUCUUCUACGGCCUCCCCAUCGUGCACCCCAACAGCAUCCUCGUCGUCACCGUCAACGGGAUCGGCUUCGUCGUCCAGCUCGUCUACCUCAGCAUCUUCUUUAUCUACUCCACCAACAACAAGCGGUUAAAGAUGCUCGCCGUGCUCGGCAUCGAGGCGGCGUUCAUGGCGGCCGUGGUGGCCGGCGUGCUCCACGGCGCGCACACCCACGAGAAGCGCUCCAUGAUCGUCGGCAUCCUCUGCGUCAUCUGCGGCUCCAUCCAGUACGCCUCCAAUCUUACCGUCAUGGUUCGUGUGAUCAGAACCAAGAGUGUUUAG